AAGUCGUAACAAGGUUUCCGUAGGUGAACCUGCGGAAGGAUCAUUAACACUUUGUUAUACCCAAUACCAACCAAAUGUGAACUGUAUCGUCCCUAUUCACGGUAAGAGGGGAGCUGGCUUCGGUCAAUUCUCUUCGAAUCGUGCGAUAGACAAUACCCUCCUAGUAGUCAUCAAGACGGCUAACACUUCGGUGUUGGUCGCCGUGGUGAUGAACGUACUCACCAAUUUUAACCCUAUAACUUUACACUUGACUAAUCUUCAUGAACUUAUCGACUGCCUCGGCGGUUAGUAAGCUUUACGAAAUAUUGAACAACUCUUAGCAAUGGAUAUCUUGGGUCAU
rnacentral:misc_RNA from 1 species